GAUGAACGCUGGCGGCGUGCUUAACACAUGCAAGUCGAACGGUGAAGCCGGAGCUUGCUCUGCUGGAUCAGUGGCGAACGGGUGAGUAACACGUGAGCAACCUGCCCCUGACUCUGGGAUAAGCUCUGGAAACGGCGUCUAAUACUGGAUACGAGCUGCGAAGGCAUCUUCAGCAGCUGGAAAGAAUUUCGGUCGGGGAUGAGCUCGCGGCCUAUCAGCUUGUUGGUGGGGUAGUGGCUCACCAAGGCGUUGACGGGUAGCCGGCCUGAGAGGGUGACCGGCCACACUGGGACUGAGAGACGGCCCAGACUCCUACGGGAGGCAGCAGUGGGGAAUAUUGCACAAUGGGCGGAAGCCUGAUGCAGCAACGCCGCGUGAGGGACGACGGCCUUCGGGUUGUAAACCGCUUUUGGCAGGGAAGAAGCGAGAGUGACGGUACCUGGAGAAAAAGCGCCGGCUAACUACGUG
rnacentral:rRNA from 1 species